UGGGGGAGUGGGGGAGGGGGAGAGGGGGAGAGAGAGUCCCAAACAGGCUCUGUGCUACUUUGCACUGAUCUCCUGACUGAAAUCGUGACCUGAGCCCAAACCAAGAGUCAGAGGCUUAAGUGACUGAGCCACCUAGACGACCCUCUCAUGUUGGUAUUUUUACAAAUAUAUCUAUUUUUACUUAUUUUCUCAAGCUCUAUGCCCAAUGUGGGGCUUGAACUCCUGAGUUCAAGAGUCACACACUCUACCAACUGAGCCAGCCAGGUGCCUCUCUCAUGUUGGUAUUUUAAAAAGAAUUUAAUGGCUUUGUAACUUAAAGCAUGAAACACCUGUAGCAGCAGACCGCCCUAGGCCUCCUGGUCCUUGUCUUAGCUGGCAUGGAUUUUUUUAUACAAAGGUCCUGGGGCUUCUUGCCCUACUCUGCGAGGAAAGGGCCACCCUCUUGGCAGCCCCAGAACAAGAGCCCCUGCACAGUUCAGGGCCUGGGGCGGGCGGGUUGCGGACAAAUUCUAACCAGAAAGCCAUAGAGAAGAAACUUCUAAAGUCGGAGGCUGAAAACAUUCACAGGAAACAAACUGCUGCUUGACGGCCCAAAAGAAGGAUGUAAAAGCUACACUGACCCUUCGCAAAGGCACACCCCACAGCCAGUGCACACCUGGGCCCUACGAGUUGUCUGACCAGUGUCCUGGGAGCUUUCGACAGCUCAGAAGGAAGCCAAGGCCCUCUGAGCCCUCUGAGACUUCACAUACAAGGGGGAGAACAGUUGGCUGCAAAGUGGCUUCCUGACUCCAGGCUGGAGGGAAGAAGAGACUGGGGCCACCAGCCUGGUCAACUGUAGCUGUCAGGGUUCGUGUCAUCUGGCAGAAAGUAGCGCUGUAAAGCAGGCUGCAGGAGCAGUGGGGGCAGCGGACGAGCAGGCCUGGGCCAGGCCGGGGGGAAGGGACGAAUGUCCACCCUCGGCAGGGGCAGUUUCAGCAUGCGGAUGGAGCCAUGGAGGGCACUGCCCACCCGGAGCCGGGACGGCAUCCGGCCUGUGGGCCAGCAGGACAGUGAGGUCUCAGGCUGAGGUGGAAGUCAAGGUCUGGUUCUCCCCCUGUCCCUACUCACCUCUUAGUCUCAUCGGAGACCUCUGGACCUUGGCCUCCUGAAGCCGGAGGAUAGGAUAGUGCCUGGAGGGGUAAGGAAGUGGGUUUGGCCCCGUCAGCCCCUCAGCUGCCCCACACAGGCCCUGUCCCGGCCUGGUGGCCCCCUCACCAGCGAUCCCAGGGCUGUGGUAGCACUGUGUUGGGCACAGGUGGGCGCAAGCUCAGGCAUGGGCUCUCGGGCUCCUGCUGCAGGGGACUCUGCUGCCGGGCCCGCUGCUGCUCACAGAAGAAGUUGAGCGCAUCGAUCGGCCCCAGGUCCAGCAUCUGCGACUGUGACCAGUCCGUCUGCUCCAGUGGCAGUGGCUUAUCCGGCAGCGCAGUGGGUACUGAGGGGUGCAAAUGGACCUCGGACGAGGGGCAGAAGUGUCGCAGUGUCUCUGACAGCGUGCGUCUGGUCCGCCAGAAGCACAUUGGUGGAAGCAUUUGCUGGGCCUGGGACUCAAGGGUGGCCACGUCCAGCUCCCCAGGUGAGACCACCAGUGAGGGGGCCCAGGAAUGGGCUGAGGGUGUCACUGAGACAUGAAAAGGUGACCCAGAAAGCACGGAAAUCUGAGACGGGGCCUCCUUGGGAGGAGGGUAAAGUGCCGAGGUCCUGGAGACCUUGGGCAGCACCUCUGACAACUCGGCUACUACAGAAGGCUGCAAGGAUUCCAUCUGUGGGGGAAACAGCCAGUUGGAGAUGCCGCCAAGCCCAAGGCAGAGGCUCUCCCUCCCCCAGCAGGGAGGCCUGAGUGGUGCUGCCCCUGGCCCCAAGCUCCAGACCUGGCUGCAGACUGCUUCCUGGGGAGGAGCAGGAAGAUCCCCAGAGAUGGGGGUUUGGGGGACAACAGGAGAGGACCAAUGAGCACAGGCACAGAGCAAGCCGAAGAGCCAGCCAGCCGUACCUGGAUCCCCCCCACCCCGACUUGGGAAAAGCCUAGGGAAAAGACAAGAGGCUCCACUGGCAAGUGGCCUGCCCGCCCCCCCCCCCCCCCCCAUCCACCGGGACCUGUAGCCGCUCCAUCAUUUCCUCCAGCUUCUGGCAGCAGCGUUGGCGCAGUGCAGCCUUGCAGUUGGCGUCCGGGCCCUGGACCCAGGUCGUCAUCUCCUUGAACAGGAAGCCCUGCGGAUCCUGAAGGCCUAGCCCUUCGAGCAGCUUCUUGAGCCAGGGCCUGGGACAGUGGUGAGCAGCUAGCUUAUCCAGAAGCCUUCCUCAGCUGGUGGUGAGGAUGAGUAGGGAGCAAAACUCACCGGCAGGAGGCUGGCGAGUAGAGGAAGUAGGACAUGAGCUCCAGCACCACCUCGUGGGACUCCAGGGAGCAGACCAGAAGGAGCUGCAACGCCAGCAUCACGAACUGCUUCUGCGUCUGGUCCUGAGCGCAGAGGGGCGAAGCAGCCGGGCAGCAGCCGCAGCAGCGCUCCCAGGAUGUGCACGCGGUCUGCCCAGGAGGCCUCGUCCAGCAGGUCCAUGAGCAGCGAGGCCAGGCCCUCCACCGUGCCCACUUCGGGAUACACCUGUGAUACCCAGCGCCGAGGCCCUGUUCCCUGCACUGUCCACCUCCCCGCCAGCCUGUGCUUCCCAGGUGCCCGAGACCCCCGAACCUUCAGGUUGAAGAUGGGGAACAGCUUUUUGAACCAGUUCUGGCAGACGAAAAACUGCAGAAACCUGGGCAGAUGGCCGUAGCGCUCUUCCCAGAGCGAGCGCCUGAAGGGGUACGAGGGGCCGCUCGAGGCCUGGGUCCCGGCGGAGGCGUCACGAGAGUGCAAGGGCUCCGGGGUCCAAUCCUCGGGGCUCUGCGGGGCAGCGGCAGCAGCUGCAGGCCCCCCUCUCCGCUCCUGACCUUGGCAGCCCCGGGGCCUAGUGGGUGCCUACCUUGGCCUCCUCCAACUCGGAGAGGUGCCCGCGUGGGCUCAGGGAGUCGGAGGCCCAGUCCAGAUACAGCUCGUCGUCGUCCUCCUCCUCCUCCGCCUCCUCUUCCCCCAACCACCGGAUCAGCUUCUGCUGCCACUUGGUGUGCCACUGCCUCCCGCGCCGUCGUGGCAGCCACAUGUCCUGGCUCCCACCUGGCUGCAGAGGGGAGAGCACGGGUGGCCGCUGGCAUGCCGCGGGAACUCGGGCCCCCUUCCACAGAGCCCAGGAGCGAGCCCCCCGGUCCUCCCUUGCCUGGUGUCUGCCGUGGCUGGUGAGCGGGGCGGGGGCUCCGAGGCCGCUGACCUCCCUGUGCGGCCACAUCUGCUGCAGCACCACGGAGUUGGGCACGCUGCCGGGGAAGUGGACGGGCCUGCGCGAGGGCUGCAGGUGGACACGGCGGGGUGGGCUGAGAACCCGAACUCCACCCGCCCUCCCACCCCGCUCAGUGGCCAGUCCAGCUCCGCGGCCGGGUCUCCGGGAGCUGAACCGGGCUCGUGCCCCCGUCCACGUGCACCUGUGUAACACCCCCGGACCGUACAGACCGGGAACUAAAACUUCAUCCUCCUUUUGAAAGAGGAACUGCAUGGAGCUGGGCAGAGGCUCAACAGUGGACUGCGGCCCUGAGCUCUCGGGCGCAAGUGGACACUCUAGCUGCUGGGUGGGUAGAACGUGCAACUCUUGAUCUUAGGGUUGUGAGUUCAAGCCUCACACUGGGCUUGAAAAUAAAAUCUUGCGAAAAAAGGACA